UUUUUUUUUUUUUUUUGAGAUGAAGUCUCACUGUGUUGUCCAGUGUGGUCUUAGCUCUGAGAUCAAGCAGUCUUCCUGCCUCAGCCUUCACAGUAGCUGGGACCACAGGGGUGUGACAUUAGACCCUAGAUAAUUUUUUCUUUCUUAUUUUCUUUUAUUAUUAUUAUUUAGUGUGUGUGAGACCCACAUUCAUAGACAAACCAAAUAAUAUUGAAGAAAUAUAUCAGGUGCUGAUAUGUGCUGAGAUGAAAAUGAAGCAGGACAGGCGAGUGGUGUGGAGAUAGUUUUCAAUGGAGGGGCAGUCAGUGAAGGCUUUUGUGGAGGUAGCAUUUGAACAAAGACCUGCAGGAAGGAGGAAAGACCCAUGUGGCUGGGGACAAGUGCUGUGGGCAGAUGAAACCUCAUGUACAAAGGCCCUGUGGUAGAGAGCACUUCCCCUGCCUCUUCGCUUGUGUUCCUCAGUGAGCAGCAGCACCCGGAAGGUCACUCUGCCCAACCUCCCCUGGGGGCCCUGCAAAUUCUGGGUGACGGCGGCCACCAUUGCAGGACAAGGCCCACCAGGUCCCAGCCUCCAGUUCCAUCUGCCAGGUAGAGGCUGGGGCGGGACUGCCUACUCCACUUGAGGGAGGGGGUGUCUGGAGUCUUCACAUGGGCUUCAGGGCAGGGACAAAAUGACUUGAGGUGGAGGAUCAGUAUGUGGGGGGUUCUGGGGGUUGAACCUAGAUCUGUGUGCAUACUGAGCACAUCUCUACCACUAUGCUGCACCCCCCAGCCCUCACUUUGUAAUUCUCACUGGCCUUGAACACGCUUUGCAGCCCAGGCUAGCCUUGAACUCCUGGCGAUCAUCCUGCCUCAGCCUCCUGUGUACUAGGAUGACAGGCAUGUGCCACCACUCCUCAUUUCUAGGGGCCUUUUUAUUCUGCUAAUGCUGCAGACUCUUACCAGGCCUGGAGUCUCCCAUGGUUUCACCCUACUCACUCUGAGCUGUCGACACUGUCCUACUCACGAGUCCCGCCCCUUCUCAAGAUUCCUAGUCCCUCCCACAUAUAAGCCCCACCCACUCUGUCACCCAAGCCCCGACCCAUCCACAAGCUUACAUCUUUCCCAGUUUCCUGGCAUCCAAAACAUCUCUCCUCUCUGUCCUGCAGGGAAUACUUUGAGCUGGGGACUCCUGCCCCGGAUCCUGUGCCUGUGGGCCUUGCUCCAGCUGGGCUGCUGCCUGGGCCUGGCCACCUCUGGAAGGUGCCUCCACCUGAGACACAAGGUGCUCCCCCGUUGGGUCGUGGAGAAGGUUCCUGAUCCUGCCAACAGCCAUUCUGGCCACCCCCACAUAGAGGUGAGCAAAAGGCCGGCCUGCCAGGCACAGUGGUGCAUGCCCACGAUUCACCCCUUUGCAGAUCUCUGGAGCUUCCUUACUACAGCUACUUUGGAGGCUGAAGCAGAAAGAUCACAAGUUCUAGGCCAGGGAAGGCAAUUUAGACUCUGUCUCAAGAUAAAAAAUAAAGAGCUGGAGGUAUAGCUUAAUGGUAGAGCGCCCUUAGGUGCUUGUGGAAGCCCUCUGGGGAAUUAGGGGAACCAGGGACACUGGGGGAUAGGGAAGGGAGGACAUUUCAGCCUCAUCUCUUCCCAGCAGGUGUCUCAGCCCCAGCCCCAGCCCCUUGGGGAUGCUCCCAUCCUGGAAGUGGAAGAGAUGGAGCCACUGCCACUUAUGGAACCGCCCCAGGCCUCCACCCCACUUCACUCUGGGUAUGAGAAACACUUCAUGCCCACCCCAGAGGAGCUGGGCCUUCUGGGGUCCCCCAGUCCCCAUGUGCUGGCCUAAGCCUUGCCAGGGGGGGCUGCAGAACAGGCUAAGGGUGCUCAUGCAGGCUGCACCCUGCCCUGGGGUGAGCCCACAUAACAGAUGAUGACACUGAGGCCCAGCAAGGCUGAGCCACUUGCCCGAAGGCAUCCAAUCGGAAGAGUGGGGACUAGGGGACCCUAUAGAGAAGGGCCCAGACUCAGUAGGGAAUGCAUGGGUGGAUCAGUGUGUAAAGGAAAAUGCGUGAUAUCAAGAGGGGAGCUGCCUCCCACAAUCCUACUGGAGCAGAACUGCACCUGUGCACAGUCCCAGCCUCCCGUGCAGCUGGACCAACCAAGGGCUGAGUUCUUACAAUGCAAUGUGGGCAGAAGUGACAUGGGCCAAUGUCAGGAGCUGGUAGGCCUGAAACACUGGGUGGAGGCUCCUCCACACUCUUCUGGUGAGCUAGAACAUAAAUGUGCUCAUGACCUAGCUUUGACAUAGCCCGGGGGGAAACCAAUGCAACGGAACUUGAGUCCCCAAGUGACUGUAGGUCAGAGCCUGAAUCCCUGAGUGACCAGAUGCGUGAACCUCAAUCCCUCAGUGACCAUAUGGAAAAGAGCCUGAAUCCCUCAGUGGUCACAUAGAUAAGAGCCUGAAUCCCUCAGUAACCACAUGGGUAAGAGCCCAAGUCAAUCCUGAGUGACUAUGAAGAUCACAGCCUGAAUUGCCCAGGGACUACAUGGGCUAGAGCCUGAGUCCUCGAGUGACCAUAUGGACUGAGCCUAAAUCACCCACUGAACCCAUGGAUAAUGGACUGAAUCCCUCAGUGACCACAUGAGUCAGAGCCUGAAUCUGAGAGAUUGUAGAUCAGAGUCUGAAUCCCCCAGGGACCGUAAGGAUCAGAGCCAAUUCUCAAGUGACCAUAUGCAUUAGCGCCUGAAUCCUCGAAAAACCACACAAGAGCCCAAAUACCUGAGCGACUGCACAAAUCGGAGCCUAAAUCACUAAGUGAUUACCUGGAUUAGAGCCUUAAUUCCUGAGUGACCACCUGAAUCAGAAAAUGAAUCCCCAAGGAACUUCCUGGGUCUGAAUCCCUGAAUGUCCACAUGCGUCAGAACCACGAUAAACUCAUCUUUUUGUUACUGUAGCUUGAGAUAACUUUGUUACAGCAACCAGUCCGUAUACUCGCUGACUCACAUUUUUUGUCCCAGAAGAAUUAGGCCUUCAGUUUCCCACCAGAUCACGAGGUGAUUCUGUGCCAACAACACACACUUUCCAGCUGAGUGCUUAGACAUUUUAUUUUCAAGUAUAAAGGCUUUGUCACAGAAGGGAGCCGGGGUCACAGGCAGUGGGCAAGGAGUCUGGAAGCCCAGGCAUAAGUGGAUGUGAGGGCCGGCUGGCGGCCGGGUGCCAUGGCCAGUCCUGUGGUGCCCUGCCUGUGCCCGGGACCCCCUGCUGGAUUCCAGGAGGCGAGGUAGCUGUGAGAGGCACUAGGUGGGGCACGGGCGCAGGCUCACAUCACCGCACAGCACUGGCACGUCUUCUGCUUGGGGCCGCUUGCCUCCUCACCCUCGGCGUGGGAGGUGGGCUCAGGC
ensembl:lincRNA